rnacentral:rRNA from 1 species
CCCUUAGAUGUUCUGGGCCGCACGCGCGCUACACUGACCAGUGCAACAAGCAUCCGUCCUUGGCCGACAGGCCCGGGCAAUCUUUGAACGCUGGUCGUGAUGGGGAUAGACUUUUGCAAUUUUUGGUCUUCAACGAGGAAUUCCUAGUAAACGCAAGUCAUCAACUUGCAUUGAUUACGUCCCUGCCCUUUGUACACACCGCCCGUCGCACCUACCGAUUGAAUGGUCCGGUGAAGCCUCCGGAUUGGCGCGCACCUCGGUGCCGCCGAGAAGUUGGCUAAACCUUACCAUUUAGAGGAAGGUGAAGUCGUANCA